AAUCAACGCUGGCGGCGUGCCUAACACAUGCAAGUCGAACGCGAAAGCCCCUUCGGGGGUAAGUAGAGUGGCGUCCGGGUGAGUAACACGUAGGUAAUCUACCUUCGGGUGGGGAAUAACCAGUCGAAAGAUUGGCUAAUACCGCAUAAUGCAGCGGCACCUAAUGGUGAUUAGUUGUUAAAGCGGGGGAUCGUAAGACCUCGCGCCUGAAGAGGAGCCUGCGGCAGAUUAGCUAGUUGGGAGGUAAUGGCUCACCAAGGCUUCGAUCUGUAGCUGGUCUGAGAGGACGGCCAGCCACACUGGCACUGACACACGGGCCAGACUCCUACGGGAGGCAGCAGUGGGGAAUUUUGGGCAAUGGGCGAAAGCCUGACCCAGCAACGCCGCGUGAAGGAUGAAAUCCCUCGGGAUGUAAACUUCGCAAGAAUGGGAAGAAUGAACGAGCGCUAAUACCGUUCGUGAUGACGGUACCAUUUGUAAGCUCCGGCUAACUCCGUGCCAGCC
rnacentral:rRNA from 1 species